rnacentral:rRNA from 1 species
GUGGGGAAUUGUUCGCAAUGGGCGCAAGCCUGACGACGCAACGCCGCGUGGAGGAUGAAGAUCUUCGGGUCGUAAACUCCUUUCGAUCGAGACGAAUGGCCUCCGGGCGAACAGUCCGGAGGAGUGACGGUACCGAGAGAAGAAGCCCCGGCUAACUCCGUGCCAGCAGCCGCGGUAAUACGGGGGGGGCAAGCGUUGUUCGGAAUUACUGGGCGUAAAGGGCUCGUAGGUGGCCAACUAAGUCAGACGUGAAAUCCCUCGGCUUAACCGGGGAACUGCGUCUGAUACUGGACGGCUUGAGUUUGGGAGAGGGAUGCGGAAUUCCAGGUGUAGCGGUGAAAUGCGUAGAUAUCUGGAGGAACACCGGUGGCGAAGGCGGCAUCCUGGACCAAUACUGACACUGAGGAGCGAAAGCCAGGGGAGCAAACGGGAUUAGAAACCCCAGUAGUCC